rnacentral:rRNA from 1 species
AUACGGAGGGUGCAAGCGUUAAUCGGAAUUACUGGGCGUAAAGCGUGCGUAGGCGGUUUGUUAAGUCAGAUGUGAAAGCCCCGGGCUCAACCUGGGAACUGCAUUUGAUACUGGCAGGCUAGAGUAUGGUAGAGGGGGGUAGAAUUUCUGGUGUAGCGGUGAAAUGCGUAGAUAUCAGAAGGAAUACCGGUGGCGAAGGCGGCCCCCUGGACCAAUACUGACGCUGAUGUACGAAAGCGUGGGGAGCGAACAGGAUUAGAAACCCCGGUAGUCC